AGAGUUUGAUCCUGGCUCAGGAUGAACGCUAGCGGCAGGCUUAACACAUGCAAGUCGAACGGUAAGGCCCUGCUUGCAGGGUACACGAGUGGCGAACGGGUGCGUAACGCGUAUGCAACCUACCUUUAACUGGAAGAUAGCCCCGAGAAAUCGGGAUUAAUAUUCCAUAACAUCCUAACAUGGCAUCAUGAAUGGAUUAAAGCUCCGGCGGUUAAAGAUGGGCAUGCGUGACAUUAGUUAGUUGGUGAGGUAACGGCUCACCAAGACAGCGAUGUCUAGGGGUCCUGAGAGGGAAACCCCCCACACUGGUACUGAGACACGGACCAGACUCCUACGGGAGGCAGCAGUGAGGAAUAUUGGGCAAUGGACGCAAGUCUGACCCAGCCAUGCCGCGUGAAGGAUGAAAGCCCUAUGGGUUGUAAACUUCUUUUAUAUGGGAAAAACUCCCCCGACGUGUCGGGGGCUGAUGGUACCAUAAGAAUAAGCACCGGCUAACUCCGUGCCAGCAGCCGCGGUAAUACGGAGGGUGCAAGCGUUAUCCGGAUUUAUUGGGUUUAAAGGGUGCGCAGGCGGAGCGAUCAGUCAGUGGUGAAAUCCUACGGCUCAACCGUAGAACUGCCAUUGAUACUGUCGUUCUUGAGUAUAGUUGAAGUGGGCGGAAUGUGUCAUGUAGCGGUGAAAUGCAUAGAUAUGACACAGAACACCAAUCGCGAAGGCAGCUCACUAAACUACUACUGACGCUCAGGCACGAAAGCGUGGGUAGCGAACAGGAUUAGAUACCCUGGUAGUCCACGCCGUAAACGAUGAUUACUCGUUGUUGGCGAUACACAGUCAGCGACUGAACGAAAGUAUUAAGUAAUCCACCUGGGGAGUACGAUCGCAAGGUUGAAACUCAAAGGAAUUGACGGGGGCCCGCACAAGCGGAGGAGCAUGUGGUUUAAUUCGAUGAUACGCGAGGAACCUUACCUAGGCUUAAAUGUAUUGCGACAAUCCGGGAAACCGGACUUCUCUUCGGAGCGCUUUACAAGGUGCUGCAUGGUUGUCGUCAGCUCGUGCCGUGAGGUGUCGGGUUAAGUCCCAUAACGAGCGCAACCCCUAUCAUUAGUUGCCAUCAGGUUAAGCUGGGGACUCUAAUGAAACUGCCUACGCAAGUAGUGAGGAAGGUGGGGAUGACGUCAAAUCAGCACGGCCCUUACGCCUAGGGCUACACACGUGCUACAAUGGUCGGAACAAAGGGAAGCUACAUGGUGACGUGAUGCAAAUCUCAAAAUCCGGUCUCAGUUCGGAUCGAAGUCUGCAACCCGACUUCGUGAAGUUGGAUUCGCUAGUAAUCGUAGAUCAGCAAUGCUACGGUGAAUACGUUCCCGGGCCUUGUACACACCGCCCGUCAAGCCAUGGAAGUUGGGGGUACCUGAAGUCUGUUACCGUAAGGAGCGGCCUAGGGUAAAACCAGUGACUGGGGCUAAGUCGUAACAAGGUA
rnacentral:rRNA from 1 species